rnacentral:rRNA from 1 species
UACGUAGGGUGCAAGCGUUAAUCGGAAUUACUGGGCGUAAAGCGUGCGCAGGCGGUUUUGUAAGUCUGUCGUGAAAUCCCCGGGCUUAACCUGGGAAUGGCGAUGGAGACUGCAAGGCUAGAGUUUGGCAGAGGGGGGUAGAAUUCCACGUGUAGCAGUGAAAUGCGUAGAGAUGUGGAGGAACACCAAUGGCGAAGGCAGCCCCCUGGGUCAAAACUGACGCUCAUGCACGAAAGCGUGGGGAGCAAACAGG